UACGGGGGGGGCAAGCGUUGUUCGGAAUUACUGGGCGUAAAGGGCUCGUAGGCGGCCAACUAAGUCGGAUGUGAAAUCCCCAGGCUCAACCUGGGAACUGCAUCCGAUACUGGAUGGCUUGAAUUCGGGAGAGGGAUGCAGAAUUCCAGGUGUAGCGGUGAAAUGCGUAGAUAUCUGGAGGAACACCGGUGGCGAAGGCGGCACUCUGGGCCGGUACUGACGCUGAGGAGCGAAAGCGUGGGGAGCGAACAGG
rnacentral:rRNA from 1 species